UGGGGAAUGAUUGCACAAUGGGCGAAAGCCUGAUGCAGCAACGCCGCGUGAGUGAUGAAGGCCUUCGGGUUGUAAAGCUCUGUCUUUUGGGACGAUAAUGACGGUACCAAAGGAGGAAGCCACGGCUAACUACGUGCCAGCAGCCGCGGUAAUACGUAGGUGGCAAGCGUUGUCCGGAUUUACUGGGCGUAAAGGAUGCGUAGGCGGAUUUUUAAGUGAGAUGUGAAAACCCUAAGCUUAACUUGGGGACUGCAUUUCAUACUGGAAAUCUAGAGUGCGGGAGAGGAGAAUGGAAUUCCUAGUGUAGCGGUGAAAUGCGUAGAGAUUAGGAAGAACACCAGUGGCGAAGGCGAUUCUCUGGACCGUAACUGACGCUGAGGCAUGAAAGCGUGGGUAGCAAACAGGAUUAGAUACCCUGGUAGUCCACGCCGUAAACGAUGAGUACUAGGUGUAGGAGGUAUCGACCCCUUCUGUGCCGCAGUUAACACAAUAAGUACUCCGCCUGGGAAGUACGAUCGCAAGAUUAAAACUCAAAUGAAUUGACGGGGGUCAUAGCUG
rnacentral:rRNA from 1 species